GGCUGUGGAAUGUCUUUGUCUCCGCUCCGGCCCGUGGGGUGUGGGGCGGGAGACCUGUUACUGGCGGGCCACGCCUCCAACGGCUGAACUGUAGAGGGGGGGUGCCGCAGAGUGGGAAUGGGAGCUCAGUGGAGGUCGCCACCCUAGCAAGGACAGGGGAGGGGAGCUGCGUGGGGAACGCGAGAAGAGAAGGAAGGAGAAUUGAGGCCGUCUGAGGCAGGAGGAGAGGAGGUAGAGACAGGGCUCUGAGUAAGAAGAGGUUCAAGCAUCUGGCUCUCCCUUGCUGUGUUUCCAGCUACUUGCAAUGGAAUGUGCAUGCCAAUCCAACCUGAGACAGCAGGCCAGACAAUGUGGCACCUCAAGAAAUAAAGAAUUUGCCAGAUACGGUGGUGCACAUCUGUAAUCCCAGCACUCAAGAGGUUGAGGCAGGAGGAUCACCACAAGUUUGAGACCAGCCUGGGCUGCAUAGUGAGCUUAAGGCCAGCCUGCACUACAUAGCAAGUCCCUGUCUCAAAAAAAAAAAAAAAAGGACAAUGAGCAGAAGACGUCUAGAAGUGAUAAAGCAAGUAUGGAUAUUUAUAUUAUCUCUCUGUGCACCCCCUUUCUUCUGCUCCUUACUGUAAAAGACCCUUAUCUACCUGUACACAGUGAGAUGGUCAUUUGAGGG
rnacentral:lncRNA from 1 species